CGGCAGCCCGAGUGGUGAUCACUAUUAUUGGGUCUAAAGGGUCCGUAGCCGGUUUGAUCAGUCUUUUGGGAAAUCUGACAGCUUAACUGUUAGGCUUCCAAAGGAUACUGUCAGACUUGGGACCGGGAGAGGUAAGAGGUACUACAGGGGUAGGAGUGAAACCUUGUAAUCCCUGUGGGACCACCAGUGGCGAAGGCGUCUUACCAGAACGGGUCCGACGGUGAGGGACGAAAGCUGGGGGCACGAACCGGAUUAGAUACCCGAGUAGUCC
rnacentral:rRNA from 1 species